GACGAACGCUGGCGGCGUGCUUAACACAUGCAAGUCGUACGGUAAGGCCCUUUCGGGGGUACACGAGUGGCGAACGGGUGAGUAACACGUGAGUAACCUGCCCACAACUUUGGGAUAACGCUAGGAAACUGGUGCUAAUACUGGAUAUGUGCCCCUGCUGCAUGGUGGGGGUUGGAAAGCUCCGGCGGUUGUGGAUGGACUCGCGGCCUAUCAGCUUGUUGGUGGGGUAGUGGCCUACCAAGGCGGCGACGGGUAGCCGGCCUGAGAGGGUGACCGGCCACAUUGGGACUGAGAUACGGCCCAGACUCCUACGGGAGGCAGCAGGGGGGAAUAUUGCACAAUGGGCGCAAGCCUGAUGCAGCAACGCCGCGUGCGGGAUGACGGCCUUCGGGUUGUAAACCGAUUUCAGCAGGGACGAAGCUUUUUGUGACGGUACCUGCAGAAGAAGCACCGGCUAACUACGUG
rnacentral:rRNA from 1 species